ACAGUUUAUAUGGUCAGACUGAUGUGAUUGUUUGAGAACACUUUAGUAAAAGAUGAAGAUGGCAACUGAGUAUUGUGAUCACCAGCUUCUUAUCUGCAAGCAGUAUUGAUAUUUUUGCAUCUGGCCAAAAGUGUCCCAUACCUGAGACGUCAGACACAUUAGAGGUUGGAGGUUCAAAACAAGCCAGUGGAAAAUGUGUAUUAUAUAAGUGCCAGAUGAAGGGUUCAAAUGCAGUUACCAUGUCCUAUUCAUGUGUGGUAAUUAAACCUGGAGAGGGAUGCACUGUCAAAGAGCAAGACGUGAGCUUACCAUUCCCAAAAUGCUGCCCAGUAACAAGAUGUACUAAAGGAUGAAAAUGAUGUGACCUGUGUCUGUUCAUAUUUUUCAUUUACAAUAAUGGUCAAAAUAUAACUAGAACUGUUAUAUUAUUUCU